AACGAACGCUGGCGGCAGGCUUAACACAUGCAAGUCGAACGGGUGUAGCAAUACAUCAGUGGCAGACGGGUGAGUAACACGUGGGAACCUUCCUAGGGGUACGGAACAACUCAGGGAAACUUGAGCUAAUACCGUAUACGUCCGUAAGGAGAAAGAUUCAUCGCCCCUAGACGGGCCCGCGUCGGAUUAGGUAGUUGGUGGGGUAACGGCCUACCAAGCCUACGAUCCGUAGCUGAUCUGAGAGGANGAUCAGCCACACUGGGACUGAGACACGGCCCAGACUCCUACGGGAGGCAGCAGUGGGGAAUCUUGCGCAAUGGGCGAAAGCCUGACGCAGCGACGCCGCGUGAGGGAUGACGGCCUGGUU
rnacentral:rRNA from 1 species